rnacentral:rRNA from 1 species
UACGUAGGGGGCAAGCGUUGUCCGGAAUUAUUGGGCGUAAAGCGCGCGCAGGCGGCUGUUUAAGUCUGGUGUAUAAACCUGGGGCUCAACUCCGGGUCGCACUGGAAACUGGAUAGCUUGAGUGCAGAAGAGGAGAGUGGAAUUCCACGUGUAGCGGUGAAAUGCGUAGAUAUGUGGAGGAACACCAGGGGCGAAGGCGACUCUCGGGGCUGUAAUUGACCCUGAGGCGCGAAAGCGUGGGGAGCAAACAGG